AAUAGACAACUUUUGAGUUCGAUGCAUUUCCGUCAAAAACUCUGGUUUUAGUGAACGUCAUUUGUGCGUUUAGGGGCGUCGUCACUUCCGUUUCAAUGUUGAGCGAGCGGUUGGAAAACUAUAAUUCUAUAUUGUACGAAUUAUUCAGCAAAUUAAAUUCUCAAAAUUGACAAUCAGCACUGCUGUCAUUAGGGAAUUGUCAUUAAGUACCUACAGAACAACCAUUAUUUCUAGUUUAUCCUGCACAAUACACCUUAUCGCUAUUUGUCCGCCAUUACUGGAUAUCACACAGGUUCCCGUAAAUUUUUGACGUCACAAAACAAAAUAUCUGACGCCACAAUGGAAAAGUGAUUGUUGUUUGCGUCAAAAGUUCAAGCGGCCGGGUCAGCCGGGAUUAGCGAUAAGGUGUAU
rnacentral:lncRNA from 1 species